rnacentral:tRNA from 1 species
CAAGAAGUAGUUUAAUGAGAAUAUCAGCUUUGGGUGUUGAUGGUGGGGAUAUUUAUUCCUUCUUCUUGA